rnacentral:rRNA from 1 species
UAUAGUACCGAAGUUCCUGAUUCCACACUGCCAAGAAAAGCCUCUAGCGAGGUGAGAGGUGCCCGUACCGCAAACCGACACAGGUAGGCGAGGAGAGAAUCCUAAGGUGAGCGAGAGAACUCUCGUUAAGGAACUCGGCAAAAUGACCCCGUAACUUCGGGAGAAGGGGUGCUUUUUCAGGGCUUGCCCUGCGAAAAGCCGCAGUGAAUAGGCCCAGGCGACUGUUUAGCAAAAACACAGGUCUCUGCGAAGCCGCAAGGCGAAGUAUAGGGGCUGACGCCUGCCCGGUGCUGGAAGGUUAAGGGGAGAGGUUAGCGCAAGCGAAGCUUUGAACCGAAGCCCCAGUAAACGGCGGCCGUAACUAUAACGGUCCUAAGGUAGCGAAAUUCCUUGUCGGGUAAGUUCCGACCCGCACGAAAGGCGUAACGAUCUGGGCACUGUCUCAACGAGAGACUCGGUGAAAUUAUAGUACCUGUGAAGAUGCAGGUUACCCGCGACAGGACGGAAAGACCCCGUGGAGCUUUACUGUAGCCUGAUAUUGAAUUUUGGUACAGCUUGUACAGGAUAGGUAGGAGCCUGAGAAGCCGGAGCGCUAGCUUCGGUGGAGGCGUCGGUGGGAUACUACCCUGGCUGUAUUGAAAUUCUAACCCGCAGCCCUUAUCGGGCUGGGAGACAGUGUCAGGUGGGCAGUUUGACUGGGGCGGUCGCCUCCUAAAAUGUAACGGAGGCGCCCAAAGGUUCCCUCAGAAUGGUUGGAAAUCAUUCGUAGAGUGUAAAGGCACAAGGGAGCUUGACUGCGAGACCUACAAGUCGAGCAGGGACGAAAGUCGGGCUUAGUGAUCCGGUGGUUCCGCAUGGAAGGGCCAUCGCUCAACGGAUAAAAGCUACCCCGGGGAUAACAGGCUUAUCUCCCCCAAGAGUCCACAUCGACGGGGAGGUUUGGCACCUCGAUGUCGGCUCAUCGCAUCCUGGGGCUGUAGUCGGUCCCAAGGGUUGGGCUGUUCGCCCAUUAAAGCGGUACGCGAGCUGGGUUCAGAACGUCGUGAGACAGUUCGGUCCCUAUCCGUCGUGGGCGUAGGAAAUUUGAGAGGAGCUGUCCUUAGUACGAGAGGACCGGGAUGGACGCACCGCUGGUGUACCAGUUGUCUUGCCAAAGGCAUAGCUGGGUAGCUAUGUGCGGAAGGGAUAAGUGCUGAAAGCAUCUAAGCAUGAAGCCCCCCUCAAGAUGAGAUUUCCCAUAGCGUAAGCUAGUAAGAUCCCUGAAAGAUGAUCAGGUUGAUAGGUCAGAGGUGGAAGCGCGGUGACGUGUGGAG